rnacentral:rRNA from 1 species
GUUAAGCGACUAAGCGUACACGGUGGAUGCCCUGGCAGUCAGAGGCGAUGAAGGACGUGCUAAUCUGCGAAAAGCGCCGGCGAGGUGAUAUGAACCCUUGACCCGGCGAUGUCCGAAUGGGGAAACCCAGUGCAAUCCGUUGCACUAUCGUUAACUGAAUACAUAGGUUAACGAGGCGAACCGGGGGAACUGAAACAUCUAAGUACCCCGAGGAAAAGAAAUCAACCGAGAUUCCCCCAGUAGCGGCGAGCGAACGGGGAGCAGCCCAGAGUCUGAAUCAGCUUGUGUGUUAGUGGAAGCGUCUGGAAAGUCGCACGGUACAGGGUGAAAGUCCCGUACACGAAAAUGCACAGGCUGUGAACUCGAAGAGUAGGGCGGGACACGUGGUAUCCUGUCUGAAUAUGGGGGGACCAUCCUCCAAGGCUAAAUACUCCUGACUGACCGAUAGUGAACCAGUACCGUGAGGGAAAGGCGAAAAGAACCCCGGCGAGGGGAGUGAAAAAGAACCUGAAACCGUGUACGUACAAGCAGUGGGAGCACCUUCGGGUGUGACUGCGUACCUUUUGUAUAAUGGGUCAGCGACUUAUAUUCUGUAGCAAGGUUAACCGUAUAGGGGAGCCGAAGGGAAACCGAGUCUUAACUGGGCGUUAAGUUGCAGGGUAUAGACCCGAAACCCGGUGAUCUAGCCAUGGGCAGGUUGAAGGUUGGGUAACACUAACUGGAGGACCGAACCGACUAAUGUUGAAAAAUUAGCGGAUGACCUGUGGCUGGGGGUGAAAGGCCAAUCAAACCGGGAGAUAGCUGGUUCUCCCCGAAAGCUAUUUAGGUAGCGCCUCGUGAACUCAUCUUCGGGGGUAGAGCACUGUUUCGGCUAGGGGGCCAUCCCGGCUUACCAACCCGAUGCAAACUACGAAUACCGAAGAAUGUUAUCACGGGAGACACACGGCGGGUGCUAACGUCCGUCGUGAAGAGGGAAACAACCCAGACCGCCAGCUAAGGUCCCAAAGUCAUGGUUAAGUGGGAAACGAUGUGGGAAGGCCCAGACAGCCAGGAUGUUGGCUUAGAAGCAGCCAUCAUUUAAAGAAAGCGUAAUAGCUCACUGGUCGAGUCGGCCUGCGCGGAAGAUGUAACGGGGCUAAACCAUGCACCGAAGCUGCGGCAGCGACGCUUAUGCGUUGUUGGGUAGGGGAGCGUUCUGUAAGCCGUUGAAGGUGGCCUGUGAGGGUUGCUGGAGGUAUCAGAAGUGCGAAUGCUGACAUAAGUAACGAUAAAGCGGGUGAAAAGCCCGCUCGCCGGAAGACCAAGGGUUCCUGUCCAACGUUAAUCGGGGCAGGGUGAGUCGACCCCUAAGGCGAGGCCGAAAGGCGUAGUCGAUGGGAAACAGGUUAAUAUUCCUGUACUUGGUGUUACUGCGAAGGGGGGACGGAGAAGGCUAUGUUAGCCGGGCGACGGUUGUCCCGGUUUAAGCAUGUAGGCGGAGGUUCCAGGUAAAUCCGGUACCUUUUAACGCUGAGGUGUGAUGACGAGGCACUACGGUGCUGAAGUAACAAAUGCCCUGCUUCCAGGAAAAGCCUCUAAGCAUCAGGUAACACGAAAUCGUACCCCAAACCGACACAGGUGGUCAGGUAGAGAAUACCAAGGCGCUUGAGAGAACUCGGGUGAAGGAACUAGGCAAAAUGGUGCCGUAACUUCGGGAGAAGGCACGCUGAUAUGUAGGUGAAGCCCCUGCGGGUGGAGCUGAAAUCAGUCGAAGAUACCAGCUGGCUGCAACUGUUUAUUAAAAACACAGCACUGUGCAAACACGAAAGUGGACGUAUACGGUGUGACGCCUGCCCGGUGCCGGAAGGUUAAUUGAUGGGGUUAGCGGCAACGCGAAGCUCUUGAUCGAAGCCCCGGUAAACGGCGGCCGUAACUAUAACGGUCCUAAGGUAGCGAAAUUCCUUGUCGGGUAAGUUCCGACCUGCACGAAUGGCGUAAUGAUGGCCAGGCUGUCUCCACCCGAGACUCAGUGAAAUUGAACUCGCUGUGAAGAUGCAGUGUACCCGCGGCAAGACGGAAAGACCCCGUGAACCUUUACUAUAGCUUGACACUGAACACUGGUCCUUGAUGUGUAGGAUAGGUGGGAGGCUUUGAAGCGUGGACGCCAGUCUGCGUGGAGCCAUCCUUGAAAUACCACCCUUUAAUGGCUGGUGUUCUAACGUAGACCCGUAAUCCGGGUUGCGGACAGUGUCUGGUGGGUAGUUUGACUGGGGCGGUCUCCUCCCAAAGAGUAACGGAGGAGCACGAAGGUUAGCUAAUCCUGGUCGGACAUCAGGAGGUUAGUGCAAUGGCAUAAGCUAGCUUGACUGCGAGAGUGACGGCUCGAGCAGGUGCGAAAGCAGGUCAUAGUGAUCCGGUGGUUCUGAAUGGAAGGGCCAUCGCUCAACGGAUAAAAGGUACUCCGGGGAUAACAGGCUGAUACCGCCCAAGAGUUCAUAUCGACGGCGGUGUUUGGCACCUCGAUGUCGGCUCAUCACAUCCUGGGGCUGAAGUAGGUCCCAAGGGUAUGGCUGUUCGCCAUUUAAAGUGGUACGCGAGCUGGGUUUAGAACGUCGUGAGACAGUUCGGUCCCUAUCUGCCGUGGGCGCUGGAGAAUUGAGGGGGGCUGCUCCUAGUACGAGAGGACCGGAGUGGACGCAUCACUGGUGUUCGGGUUGUCAUGCCAAUGGCACUGCCCGGUAGCUAAAUGCGGAAGAGAUAAGUGCUGAAAGCAUCUAAGCACGAAACUUGCCCCGAGAUGAGUUCUCCCUGACUCCUUGAGAGUCCUGAAGGAACGUUGAAGACGACGACGUUGAUAGGUCGGAUGUGUAAGCGCAGCGAUGCGUUGAGCUAACCGAUACUAAUGAACCGUGAGGCUUAACC